UAAAAGUAGGUCAUGACUUUUGAGUC
rnacentral:piRNA from 1 species